rnacentral:rRNA from 1 species
AACGUAGGAGGCGAGCGUUAUUCGGAUUUACUGGGCGUAAAGCGCGUGCAGGCGGCUUUGUAAGUCGGACGUUAAAUCUCCUGGCUUAACUGGGAGGCGUCGUUCGAAACUGCAGGGCUUGAGGUUGGGAGAGGGAAGCGGAAUUCCCGGUGUAGUGGUGGAAUGCGUAGAUAUCGGGAGGAACACCUGUGGCGAAAGCGGCUUCCUGGCCCGCACCUGACGCUAAGACGCGAAAGCGUGGGGAG